rnacentral:misc_RNA from 1 species
AAGCCAUUUAUUAUCCAAAAUUUUAAUGCAAAUUUAAAUUGUAUUUAAUAUAGUUAACUAAAAAUUUUUUCAUUAAUAAAAUUUAGAGUACAAUUUUGAAAUAUAAAAUAUUAAAAAAUAAACAUUUAACUAUAUUGUUAAAAUGAAAUUAAUAAACAAGCCACGCAAUAUUAUGAUAAAAUGGAUGAACGCAUUACUUACUCCGCAGUUUUCUGCAUCGAACACGGUUCCUUCUGUCGAAUAUUCACUUUAUUUAUUUUAUAAAAAUAAAUAAAAUGUAAUUUCAUUUAUUUACAAUUCACUUUCUCUUUUAUUUGGAGAGAAUGUUACACAUGGACCAAUAUAAUAUUUUCCUUAACUUAUUUUUCUCUCUCCUUAUUUUUCACCAAUUCAAACAAGUGAUGAGUGAAAAAUUCUUUUAUUUUCCACUCUUAUUGUCUUUCCUCCCUUAUUUUCCACUAACACAAACAGGGUCUAAAAUGCAAUUUGAGUCCAAUUAAUAUUUGGAGUUUUUAUUUUUAUUUUUCUCUAUUUGUGGAGUUAGUUUCCCCAUAUAGUUAGUAGAUGAAGCCUAAAACUGUAGCCCGGUGAAGAUCCUAUGACGAUUUAGAGCUAUUCAUUCUCAGGUGAGAAUGUACAGAUAUAGAGAGUGUAGAGAAAUAGAAGAAGGAACCCUUUGCCUUUCUUAGCUAGACAUAGUUAUAGGAUAUAGUGAUUGGAGAAUAUUCUAUAGUAUGUUUCAUGGAAUAACAUAUUUUAUAGGUGGGGGUAUAUUCUUGAAAUAAGGGGAAUAUUCUUUUGGCUAUUUAUUUAAUAUUGUAUUAGAAAGAUUUUGUAGUGCUUUAG